UUUAUUCUCGUGAUUUUUUUUCAAGUUGUUUCUGACUCAGUGCAGUUAUGUUCAUUGCUUAAACAUUAAGAUAUCCACAGAUAUCUCCUCCGGACUAGACUGACCAGUACCCUUACACUUAUCCAGCAUCCUGGCCCUCCCAGACCUGCCUGGCCAGCUCUCCUGGUGGUAUCAGACCCCACAUGCUGAGUGGCAGUUUCCUGAGGCUUCUUAUCUCAUACAGUAAAAGCUUUACCAAGGAACAGACAGAGACAUACAUACUGAGGAGCUGAUGGUGGGGGACAAAAAGAAGUUCUGUUUUUUUCAAAAACAGUACUAACUGUUAAUGAAUUAAGCAUAAACUUUGGACUAGCAUUCUGUGAACAAGUAACAUAGCUUUAACUCAUUUUCUUUCCUGUCUGUUCAAUGGCAUGCCCCCCCUGCAGAAAGAGGUGCUGAGUAUUUGGGAAAAUGAAAUUCCUAAAAGGUAACAGAGAAGAAUGAGGCAAAUAAAAAAUCAUACUAUUAUGAAGAAAUCUAUCCAAACCUAACUUGGCUUUCCGAGAAUGGCUGUGCAAACUCUUGGACCGUACUGAUGGGAACCCAGAAGUCCUGUCUGGCUUUACUGAUACGACAGCAGACUCUCUUGAUGAUUAUGUAGAGGUGGCUGAAGAUAAUCAUCGGCGGUGGGAGGACAGGUCUGUCAUGGAAUGUCAUAAUCAGCUGGUACCGCUGGAACUUCCAGACUUGGUUGGAUAUGGAUUUUACCUCAAAGAAGAUCAGACCUACGUUUUUCCUGUUUAUCACAAGGAAAGUAUAAAAGGGAAAUCAAAUGAAUCAUAGUAUUACUCACAUGGAUCAAUGAAAGCGCUGCUAAAGAAACACUAAUAUACAGGUAAUCAAAGGUAAUUAUUUAUAACAUGAUAUUAAUUACAAAAGCUUGGCCAAAACUUCUGAUGUAACAUAUAUUAAAAUAUUUUUCCUCUGCUUC